rnacentral:rRNA from 1 species
GACGUAGGGCGCGAGCGUUGUCCGGAUUUAUUGGGCGUAAAGAGCUCGUAGGCGGCUUGUUGCGUCAGCUGUGAAAACCCGCAGCUCAACUGUGGGCUUGCAGCUGAUACGGGCAGGCUUGAGUUCGGUAGGGGAGACUGGAAUUCCUGGUGUAGCGGUGAAAUGCGCAGAUAUCAGGAAGAACACCAAUGGCGAAAGCAGCUCUCUGGGACGGUACUGACGCUGAGACGCGAAAGCGUGGGGAGCGAACAGG